GAUCCCUAGUACUGCGAGUGAGCGGGAAAAGCUCAAAUUUAAAAUCCCUUCCGGGAGUUGUAAUCUAGAGACGUGUUUUCGGUCGUUGCCUCGGACAAGUCCCUUGGAAUAGGGCGUCAUAGAGGGUGAGAAUCCCGUACUUGCCGAGCUCCCAAUGACUAUGUGAUACACGUUCGAAGAGUCGAGUUGUUUGGGAAUGCAGCUCAAAAUGGGUGGUAAACUCCAUCUAAAGCUAAAUAUUGGCGAGAGACCGAUAGCGAACAAGUACCGUGAGGGAAAGAUGAAAAGCACUUUGGAAAGAGAGUUAAACAGUACGUGAAAUUGUUGAAAGGGAAGCGCUUGAAGUCAGUCGCGUUGCAGGGACUCAGCCGUCAAGGUGCAUUUCUCUGUAACGGGUCAACAUCAAUUUCGGCCGCGGGAAAAGGGCUUGGGGAAUGUGGCAGCUUCGGCUGUGUUAUAGCCUCUUGUCGUACACCGCGGCCGGGAUUGAGGACUGCUAUUACAGGAUGUUGACAAAAUGGCUUUAAGCGACCCGUCUUGAAC
rnacentral:rRNA from 1 species